GAUGAACGCUGGCGGCGUGCCUAAUACAUGCAAGUCGAGCGAACGGACGAGAAGCUUGCUUCUCUGACGUUAGCGGCGGACGGGUGAGUAACACGUGGAUAACCUACCUAUAAGACUGGGAUAACUUCGGGAAACCGGAGCUAAUACCGGAUGAUAUUUUGAACCGCAUGGUUCAAUAGUGAAAGACGGUCUUGCUGUCACUUAUAGAUGGAUCCGCGCUGCAUUAGCUAGUUGGUAAGGUAACGGCUUACCAAGGCAACGAUGCAUAGCCGACCUGAGAGGGUGAUCGGCCACACUUGAACUGAGACACGGUCCAGACUCCUACGGGAGGCAGCAGUAGGGAAUCUUCCGCAAUGGGCGAAAGCCUGACGGAGCAACGCCGCGUGAGUGAUGAAGGUCUUCGGAUCGUAAAACUCUGUUAUUAGGGAAGAACAUAUGUGUAAGUAACUGUGCACAUCUUGACGGUACCUAAUCAGAAAGCCACGGCUAACUACGUG
rnacentral:rRNA from 1 species